UACGUAGGGUGCAAGCGUUAUCCGGAAUUAUUGGGCGUAAAGAGCUCGUAGGCGGUUUGUCGCGUCUGCUGUGAAAACUGGAGGCUCAACCCUCCAGCCUGCAGUGGGUACGGAUAAACUAGAGGCUGGAAGAGGUAAGCGGAAUUGCUGGUGUAGGGGUUAAAUCCGUUAAUAUCAGCAGGAACACCAAAAGCGAAGGCAGCUUACUGGAACAGUUCUGACGUUCAGGCACGAAAGCGUGGGGAGCGAAUGGG
rnacentral:rRNA from 1 species